UACGUAGGGGGCAAGCGUUGUUCGGAAUUACUGGGCGUAAAGGGCUCGUAGGUGGCCAACUAAGUCAGACGUGAAAUCCCUCAGCUUAACUGGGGAACUGCGUCUGAUACUGGAUGGCUUGAGUUUGGGAGAGGGACGCGGAAUUCCAGGUGUAGCGGUGAAAUGCGUAGAUAUCUGGAGGAACACCGGUGGCGAAGGCGGCGUCCUGGACCAACACUGACACUGAUGAGCGAAAGCCAGGGGAGCAAACGGG
rnacentral:rRNA from 1 species